GACGGAGGAUGCAAGUGUUAUCCGGAAUCACUGGGCGUAAAGCGUCUGUAGGUGGUUCGAAAAGUCCAUUGUUAAAAAUUGAGGCUUAACUUCAAAGAUGCCGUGGAAACUUUCAAACUAGAGUAUGGUAGGGGUAGAGGGAAUUUCCAGUGGAGCGGUGAAAUGCGUAGAUAUUGGAAAGACCACCGAUGGCGAAGGCACUCUACUGGGCCAUUACUGACACUGAGAGACGAAAGCUAGGGGAGCAAAUGGG
rnacentral:rRNA from 1 species